rnacentral:rRNA from 1 species
CCUACGGGGGGCUGCAGUCACGAAUCUUCCUCAAUGGCCGAAAGGCUGAAGGAGCGACGCCGCGUGUAUGAUGACGCCCCUUGGGGUGUAAAGUACUUUUAUAUGGGAAGAACAAAUGACGGUACCAUAUGAAUAAGGGGCUGCUAAACUCGUGCCAGCAGCAGCGGUAAUACGAGUGCCCCGAGCGUUAUCCGGAUUUAUUGGGCGUAAAGCGUGCGUAGGCGGUUUGUAACAUCUCCUGUAAAAUCCCAAGGCUCAACCUUGGGCCUGCGGGAGAUAUGGACAAACUAGAGACUGGAAGAGGCAAGCGGAAUUGCUGGUGUAGGGGUUAAAUCCGUUAAUAUCAGCAGGAACGCCAAAAGUGAAGACAGCUUGCUAGCACAGAUCUGACGCUAAGGCACGAAAGCGUGGGGAGCGAAUGGGAUUAGAUACCCGUGUAGUC